UCUCAGUAAUUAACUCUGAAAUAAUUUUAUGAAAAAUAAAUAAAUACCUUAUGGCAAUUGUUUUUUAUAAAUAUGAACCUUACUUGGCUUCAAAACCAUACUAUCUCUACAAAACACAAAUGCCAUUUUGACCUAUCAUACUAAACUAAUCAAGGAAAGACAAUGAACAAUGAAGUGAAUAACCAUGAGAGAUAUGUUGAACUGUCAAGGACUGAGAGAGAAAAGAAAGGGUGGAGAAAUGUAUUAGAACGAAUAAGGAGUUGGAUGGCUUUCAAAGACAAGGAUGAAUGGCUGGAACAAAUGAGAGGUAAUUUGGGAUUAAUAGCGACAGUGAUCGCAACAAUUACAUUUCAAAUAGCUCUUAAUCCACCUGGGGGCGUUAGGCCGGUUAAAGAUGACGGAGAAAACAAUCCAGAUGUUAUAGCAUGUACUCUCUAUAGCAAGGAUGGAAACUUAACUAAUGGUUUGAAGCUAUGUCCCGGUGAAGCUGUCUUAGCCGUUAUAUAUCCAGGUUCUUAUCUUGAGUUCUUUUUUGGAACAGUAUAUGUUUUGUUUCAUCGCUAACGGUUUUACUAUUGCUUGUGAGUGGAUUUCCUUUGAAACAUAGGAUUCCUAUGUGGCUUUUAUCAAUCGGAAUGUGUCUCACUCUCACAAGUCUUGCUAUUACAUACAUAACUGCAGUACAAAUGGUUACCCCGGAUCCUGUUUGGGGUCCAGCAAAAGAUUUUCAAAGAACAUUGCUUCUGACUUGGGUUUCAAUGUUAUUCCUUUUGGCUUUGUUCCUCACACUACGUUUCAUUAUAUGGGUAGUUAACAUUUUUCUCAAAAUAGGUAAAAGGGCAAUCACUCAAAAUAUUUCGAGGGAGAAUACUCCAGCCCCGUGAUUCAGUAUGUUUCACCAUGCAUCUGCUACAUGUUCCAUCCCAAACCACUUCAUUCCGCAUGUGUAUUUGUGUGUAAAGUGUUCUUUUAUAAGUAAUAAACGUAUGUUAUAAGGAUAUUUAUGUGUAAUGUUAUCUUUUGUAUGGAAUUGUUUGUAUGGUUGUCUUUUAUGUUAAGGAUAUUUGUGCGCAAGGCUGUCUUUUAUAUGUAAUAUACAUUAUGAUAAUUAUAUUUAGAGUAAUGCUAUUCUUACA